UAAUUUCACAUCUCUUUUACCUUAAAACACAAAGAAAAAACUUUUUUAGUCGAUGGGCACGUGGCACACAGCCCCCGAGCCGUUACACGACUAGUUUGGGUAUAGGGUCAACCACUAGUCAACAUGACCAUUCGCUAACAGUAACCUUAUCUCUUUCAAAAAAAAAUGGAAACUGUCAAGCGAUAACUCCAAGCUUUAAA
rnacentral:lncRNA from 1 species